GGUGCAUCAUCAAGCCAGAGGAUAUAUUUGCAAUACAGAAAGCUCUCAGAAGAGUAAUUUGAAAGUAUAUACAGAACUUUUAUAAAAGAAGAAAAAGACAACCCAAUUAGAAAUAUAUGCAAAAUAUGACUAGGUAUUUUAUUUUAUUUUCUCAUCACCUUCUGCCCCCUGAUCAUUUUUUAUGCUUUUAAUUCUUUAUUUCUUUAUUUUUUUAGUCGUACAUGACAGCAGAAUGAAUUUUGACAUAUAAUACAUACAUGGAAUGUACAUACAUCAAUCAUAUUGUCAGUUCUAUUCUGCUGCCCUUCCUAUCCUCCUUACUCCUCCCCUCCUCUCCCAUCCUUUCUCUCUAUCCAAUCUAAUGUGACACACUUUUUUUUCUUUUUCUCAUUACAACAUCAUAUAUGUAUUCUGUAUAACAAUGAGGUUCUCCUUCCAUCUUCUGUGCAACUCCCCUUCUCCCUCUUUUUCCCUCCCACCUCUCUUCUGUAUUUAGUGGUAGUCUUCUUCUCAUGCUCUUCUUCCCUAUCCCAUUUGAGUCACCCCCCUUAUAUCAGAGAAGACAUUUGGCAUUUGUUUUUUUGGGAUUGACUAACUUCACUUAGCAGAAUCUGCUCUAAUGCCAUCCAUUUGCCUGCAAAUGCCAUGAUCUUGUUAUUUUUUAGUGCUGAGUAAUAUUCCAUUGUGUAUAAAUGCCACAUUUUUAAUCCAUUCAUCUAUUGAAGGGCAUCUAGGUUGGUUCCACAUUCUAGCUAUUGUGAAUUGUGCUGCUAUAAACAUUUAUGUGGCUGUAUGACUAGGUAUUUUUAAAAGACAAAGAAACGUUUGUGGCAGAUAAACACGAAAAGAUACUCAGCAAAUCAUGGAACUGGAAAAAAAAAACCCACAUUGAGUUAUCAUUACAUGUUUACCGAAUUAGCAAAAUUCCAAAUGUCUCACAAUAUUAAGUUUUGAUGAGAAUACAGGACAAUAGGAACUUUCAAACUAUUGGUAGGAAUUGUCUUUAAUAAAUUAGGGCUAAUUUGUCUGAUGAGAUUGAAUAGAUUUCCAAGGUGGCUAGUUGUCACAGUGGAAAUUAGUACAACUACAUUAGAAAAGGUUGGCAUCUGGUCUUGAGAAAUGCACAUACUCUAUUCCUCAUAAUUCC
rnacentral:lncRNA from 1 species